AUGAACCCGCUAGUGGACGAGUUCUUGGGAGGAAAGAACGGCCUUCUGGUUGCGAUGGGUCCGACAGGGUCCGGCAAGACGCAUACCGUCUUUGGUACUGCAAGAAAUCCCGGCCUGGUACCGCUCACGCUACAGAAGAUCUUCACUACGGCAGAUGAAUCCGAAGGUGGCAACCAAUCGCCAAGAUUAUUUUACUUGUCAAUGUUCGAGAUACUCUGUGAAGGAAAAGGAGAACGAAUUCUCGAUCUUCUGUCUGAUGCAACAAUUAAAGGCCUUAAAGAGGUAGCCAUUUCAAGUGCCAUGGAUGCUGAGAGUUUAGUUUCACGUGGCAUGCUUAAGCGGAGCACAGCUGCAACUGAUGCUAACAGCGAGUCAAGCCGGUCACAGUGCAUCAUCACUAUACGUGCUGUUCAUAAAAACGUUGACCAACAAAGUGAGCACCCGAUUAGUGGAUCUGUCUUGACCAUUGCUGACCUUGCUGGAGCAGAGCGAAAAAAGAAUACUGGAAAUAAGGGUUCAAGGUUGUUGGAGAGUAACUUUAUCAACAAUACGUCCAUGGUUUUCGGUCUAUGUCUGAGGGCUUUAUUAGAUCAUCAGAAAAAUCAGAAGAAAACCUUGGAGAAACAUUUUAAGAACUCAAUGUUGACAAGGUACUUGAAAGACUACCUGGAGGGAAGGAAGAAGAUGACUCUGAUUUUGAACGUGAAACCAGGAGAAGAUGAUUACGCUGAUACAUCAUAUUUGCUCAGACAAGCAUCUCCUUACAUGAAAAUAAGGUACACCAGCCUUGAUGAAUCUUCUAACUUGGUUUCCCAAAAGAGAACCAAUGUUUCCCUGGUUUGCCAAGAGAACAAGAAAAAGAGGAAGGUUAACAAGCCCGAACCUGAAGUUGUUACGGCUGAAGAAAAGGAGCUGCAAAGAGUGUCUCGAAGUGAACAAAUCAUGAAAAACCUUUUCAAUGCUUUAUGGACUGUUUCAAAACAAAAGAUUACGGAGUCUGAGGUUGCUGCUAAAAGCAUGCAAGAAUUGCUCAAAGAUAAAGACACUGAAAUUCUAGAGCUGAAAAAGGAGUUGGAUGACCUGAAGUCUCGUUGUUCACGCGUUAAGCAAAAUGGUGCUGCAUCAAUUGCUAUAAGCUCGGUUUCUGAAACUGAACUGGCCAGUGACGCUGCAUUAGACAAUCUCCAUUUGAGCACUGAGUUGGUACAAAAGAUCUCAGAAGAAUCUACAUAUUCUGAUCCAGAAAUGUCUUCAGCUUAUUGCGAUAUGACAGAGAAAUCCGUCGACUGUGAUACCUCUGUUGCUAAUUUGAUAGAUGAACAAGAGUUGAGCUCCAGAUAUUUGAAGAAAGAGGAAUCAUGCACUCCUGAUGUUACUGAACCCAAGUGCGAUCUGAAAAAGGAAAAUACUGAGACAAUCCGACAAGUGGGCAACAAGGAAUCUGAUGGUUCUGAGAGCUGUUCUGAACAAACAUCGGCACCUGACGGUGGUGUAACACAUGCACCCAGUCAUUUGGAUGACCCAUCUGAGCUUAGCUUUUCAGAACUUCAUAUAGUUCCAUGUAAUCUGUCCGCACAGUUUACUGAUAUACAAGUUAGUGAGAAAGCUCCCAUGGAACAAAGUGAAGAAGAGGAGUUAAGCAGCAAUACAGAAGUGGAGAGUAUUCAACAUGACGUCGACAUAAAAGAGAUGAAGCAGCAUGAUUAUCAAAGUUCAUCUCAGCAACCGAACUGUGACGCUGGAGACGUUAGCUCCAAUCAGCCUUUCUUAGAGUUGCAAGGCAUGGGUGCUGCUCACCAGAAUCCUGAUGAACUGGUGCCUGAGCCAGAAAGGUGCGAGUCCAUGGUAAAGGAGGCCACUGCAGCACACGCACAUGGAGCAAAUGAGGACCUUUGCGCUUCGAAGCCUCGUGAAAACACAAAGAAGCCGUCAAGCAGGAGGAGGCUGCUGCCGGUGUCGGCCAUGAUGCUCAAGGAGUUCACCGGCCCUGCCAUUGGUUUGGAUGGAGGAGGCGCCAAGGCAUCGUCGGGCGAGCAGUCGGCGACGGCUGCUGGGCGAUCGGACGCGCUCAUCCGGCUCCUCAAAGCAAAAGCGCCGCCCAUGAGGCAUCAUCGGGGCUAG
rnacentral:rRNA from 1 species